AUUCCACUUCAUGCAGGCGAGUUGCAGCCUACAAUCCGAACUGAGAGGCGUUUUGAAGAUUGGCUCCACUUCGCAGUAUUGCUUCUCUUUGUGCACCCCAUUGUAGCACGUGUGUAGCCCUAGGCGUAAGGGCCAUGAUGACUUGACGUCGUCCCCACCUUCCUCCUCCUUACGGAGGCAGUAUCCUUAGAGUUCUCAGCAUGACCUGUUAGCAACUAAGAAAGGGGGUUGCGCUCGUUGCGGGACUUAACCCAACAUCUCACGACACGAGCUGACGACAGCCGUGCAGCACCUGUUUUCAAGGUCUAGCAAGCUAGACACUCCACUAUUUCUAGCGGAUUCUCUCAAUGUCAAGCCUAGGUAAGGUUCUUCGUGUAUCUUCGAAUUAAACCACAUGCUCCACCGCUUGUGCGGGUCCCCGUCUAUUCCUUUGAGUUUUAAUCUUGCGACCGUACUCCCCAGGCGGGAUGCUUAAUGCGUUAGCUGCAUUACUGGAGAGACUAAGCCCUCCAACAACUAGCAUCCAUCGUUUAGGGCGUGGACUACCAGGGUAUCUAAUCCUGUUUGCUCCCCACGCUUUCGCGCAAUCAGCGUCAGUAAUGUUCCAGCAGGUCGCCUUCGCAAUGAGUAUUCCUCUUGAUCUCUACGGAUUUUACCCCUACACCAAGAAUUCCACCUACCUCUCCCACACUCUAGAAUAGUAGUUUCAAAUGCAGUUCUAUGGUUAAGCCAUAGGAUUUCACACCUGACUGACUAUCCCGCCUACGCGCUCUUUACGCCCAGUGAUUCCGAGUAACGCUUGCACCCUCCGUAUUACCGCGGCUGCUGGCACGGAGUUAGCCGGUGCUUAUUCGUUAGAUACCGUCAUUAUCUUCUCUAACAAAAGGAGUUUACAAUCCUAAAACCUUCAUCCUCCACGCGGCGUUGCUGCUUCAGGGUUUCCCCCAUUGAGCAAUAUUCCCUACUGCUGCCUCCCGUAGGAGUCUGGACCGUGUCUCAGUUCCAGUGUGUCCGUUCACCCUCUCAGGCCGGAACCCCCGUCAUAGCAA
rnacentral:rRNA from 1 species